rnacentral:rRNA from 1 species
AGAGUUUGAUCCUGGCUCAGGAUGAACGCUAGCUGGAGGCCUAAUACAUGCAUGUCGAGCGGGAUUCAUGACUUCGGUUGUGAUGAGAGCGGCGCACGGGUGAGUAACGCGUACACGACCUACCUCUGACAGGGGGAUAGCCCCGGGAAACUGGGAUUAAUACCGCAUACGAUUCAGUUGAUAGAGCGACUGAAUGAAAGCUGAGGCGGUCAGAGAUGGGUGUGCGUCUGAUUAGCUAGUUGGUAGGGUAACGGCCUACCAAGGCGAUGAUCAGUAGGGGGCGUGAGAGCGUGAUCCCCCACACGGGUACUGAGACACGGACCCGACUCCUACGGGAGGCAGCAGUAAGGAAUAUUGGUCAAUGGGCGCAAGCCUGAACCAGCCAUCCAGCGUGCAGGAAGACGGCCCUAUGG